UAUUCUAACCGUGCGAAGGUAGCGCAAUCAAUUGCCUUUUAAAUGAAGGCCUGUAUGAAUGGUAUAACGAGGGUCUAACUGUCUCUUUUUUCUAGUCAGUUAAACUGAUCUGUCCGUGCAGAAGCGGACAUCCCAAUACAAGACGAGAAGACCCUAUGGAGCUUUAGACACUAGCCAACUGUGAAUAAGCGACUGAACUACACAAGUCUUAAAUACCCACAGCCCCUGGUAAUGUAGUCUUAGGUUGGGGCGACCACGGGAGAAAACAAAGCUCCCAAGCAGACCGGGACAACCCUUAAGCCGAGAGUUGCAACUCUAAGCCGCAAAAAUUUUGACUGAAAUGAUCCGGUUGAAAAACCGAUUAACGAACCAAGUUACCCUAGGGAUAACAGCGCAAUCCUCUCCCAGAGUCCCUAUCGACGAGGGGGUUUACGACCUCGAUGUUGGAUCAGGACAUCCUAAUGGUGCAGCCGCUAU
rnacentral:rRNA from 1 species